rnacentral:rRNA from 1 species
GAUGAACGCUGGCGGCGUGCCUAAUACAUGCAAGUCGAGCGAACAGACGAGGAGCUUGCUCCUCUGACGUUAGCGGCGGACGGGUGAGUAACACGUGGAUAACCUACCUAUAAGACUGGGAUAACUUCGGGAAACCGGAGCUAAUACCGGAUAAUAUAUUGAACCGCAUGGUUCAAUAGUGAAAGACGGUUUUGCUGUCACUUAUAGAUGGAUCCGCGCCGCAUUAGCUAGUUGGUAAGGUAACGGCUUACCAAGGCAACGAUGCGUAGCCGACCUGAGAGGGUGAUCGGCCACACUAGAACUGAGACACGGUCCAGACUCCUACGGGAGGCAGCAGUAGGGAAUCUUCCGCACUGGGCGAAAGCCUGACGGAGCACCGCCGCGUGAGUGAUGAAGGUCUUCGGAUCGUAAAACUCUGUUAUUAGGGAAGAACAAAUGUGUCAGUAACUAUGCACGUCUUGACGGUACCUAAUCAGAAAGCCACGGCUAACUACGUG